AAGAACAGUAAAACAGACUUGUUAUUGGCAGCCCAUUAGUGCUCAGGAGAGGCGGUCUCCAGCAUGACAUCAGCCGGCGGCUCGACCCAAAUCUAGUAUUUCACCAGAGAGCCUAACGCUGCUGGCUUUCCAACUGUGUGGAAGACGAUACAGGCGUAACAAAGACAAGGAUGAAAUAAGUCCUGUGAUGGAGAGACAAGCAAAAUUCUACCUGACUUCACAGGAGGAAGAAGUGUGCUGUGCCAGGGGGAACAGGAGAAAGCUUCAUGGAAGAGGUGAGCCUUACAAGCCACGUAGGAUUUCAAAAGGGGAGGAUAAUGUUCCGAGGCAAGGAACCAGCAAAACACUGAGGAAUAAAAGUAAAAAUUGUAUCUGGGGAAUGAUGAGUGGUCCCAAAUGAAUGGAGGAGAAAGUUAAGCACCUGUGGGGUGUGUGUGGGGUGUGUAUGUGUUUGUGUGAGUGUGUUGGUGGGAGUGGAAAGUGGAAUUAGGAGUUUUGAGAUGCUUUGUUUUGCAAACCGCAGAUAACCCUUAAAGGUGUUGGAGACUUGUGGAUGGAGUGAGUGGUGAUGCAACCCAACCUAUAUAUUCAUAAUUGACCCUGUAAGCCAUAAAAAGGACAAGCUGAGAAGGGAUGAUAUUAGAGGCAGGAGGACCAGAGGCUACUUCAGUAGCCCAGGUCAGAGAGGAGGAGGACUGGCAAGGCAGAGGCAGUGUUCCUGGAGGGAGGGGAUAGAUGCUGGGGACCCUGCAGAGGUCAGGGGCAGCCAGUCAGGUGUGGUGGGAGGAAGGGAAGUGCUCUCUUCGGGGUGCCUGAGAAGGUGACCAUGGGCAGGACAGAGACUGGCAACUCUGAGAGAGAAAUGGAUUUGGGGAAAGAGAAAAGAAAACACUAGUUACAAUUGGAUACAUGGAGUUGGAGUUGUUGGUGGUGACUGUCAUGAAGGAGUACCCAGGGAAGAGUAAACAGAUAGAUGGAACAAAACAGGAGGAAGGCAGAACUCUGAGGAAUGCCCACAUCUAGGGGAGCCAGUGCAACAGACAACAUGGAACGGCAGGGUUAGUAGGAGACGGGCCAUGAGGAAAAGGGAGGGAAGUUCCAAGAAGAAAGGCUGGAAGGUAUUUCUGAUGCUUCAAGGAGACCCAAGAAGGGGAGAUGGUGAGGCAGUUGGGUUGGGCAAUAAAGAAGUUGAGCAGGGUGUGGGAAGUAGAGGCAGAAAGAUUUUGCACCUGGCUUUAAAGAAGUUUCACCAUGAUGACUGCAUGGAAAGUUUUUUUUGGGUGAUGGGCCCUUGAGCAAUAUUCAAGGAUAAAUAAUAAGGAGGGAGAGAUUGAAAGGCACCCAAGAGGGGACUCUGAUGGAGCAGGAUCAUGGGAGGGGCAGGAAGGGGUGGAGCAGGUGGGCUUGCAAAGCAGCAGGAAGAAGGUGCGAUAGACCAGAGAACAGUUAAGGUAAAGACAAGGGGGAGCGAGGGUGCAGGCAGCCUGCCGGGGAAGGAAACAAUGAGAUCCUAUGCUGAGAGUGAGGGCUGGGGAUGAAGGUGAUGGGAAGAGAGAAGUGGCUUGGAAAUUUGAGGCAGGGAGGACACGGAACAGAAAGUCAGGCAGGAAUGAAUAAUAGGGCAUUGAGAAGCUGAAGAUGGAAGCCCGGCUCUGCAACAUCCUCGUCUGCACAGUCAUGACAUUUGCUCCAGCCUUUCUGGGCAGUCUGGAAGCAGAAGCAGAAGCAAAGAACCCAGUGGCGGGAAUCCUCCAGCUAUGGCCAGCACUGCAGCCACAGUGGACAGCCAGAGACACAGGACCUUAGCGGAUGAUCGGAGAGAAUUUUACAGCAGGAAGCCUUUUUGUUGAUAUGGGUGACCUUCACCUCCAAGACCGGUACAGCCUUGUCUUGGGUUAAAUUUGGAGACCAAAUGUGAAAAAGUUUUACAUAAAAAAUAUAUACCGGCCAGGCACGGUGGCUCACACCUGUAAUCCCAGCACUUUGGGAGGCUGAGGCAGGCAGAUCACGAGCUCAGGAGAUCGAGACCAUCCUGACUAAUACGGUGAAACCCCAUCUCUACUAAAAAUACAAAAAAUUAGCUAGGUGUGGUGGCAGGUGCCUGUAGUCCCAGCUACUCAGGAAGCUGAGGCAGGAGAAUGGUGUGAACCUGGGAGGCGGAGCUUGCAGUGAGCCAAGAUUGCGCCACUGCACUCCAGCCUGGGUGACAAAGCGAGACUCCAUCUC
rnacentral:lncRNA from 10 species